UCGCAGCGGGCCCGGAGCUCGGUGCAGGGAGCACGGCCGAGCCAGGACUACAACUCCCGACGUGCGUGGCGGCCAACGCGAGUUCUAUAUCUUGCCUUUUGCUUUAUUCUUCCCCCUUUUUGCGACGGAGACUGCAGUCCAGGAAGUGCGCAGUAGUGAUUCUAGUGAGGCUGUAAGCUAACCUAGCGACGCCAGGGCUGUGAACGGCUCACGGAAUGUCUGUUUCUCCUGCACGGCGCACACACUGCGGAACCCACCGUCCCACUGGCCGCGUUUCCGGAGGACAUUAAUUGUGGCCGGACGCAGUGGCGCGGCAGUUUAAUUCUCCGGCGGCGGCAGGUUAAGGGGACGAGAUGGUCCCGGCGGGACUCAUCAGGAAACUCGGUCAUCAGCUGGCCGAGAUCAGGGAGCGCGCUCUGAAGAGUAUUCUCUGCAAGAUUGAGCACAACUUAAUCUGCCACGCUGAUCUCAUUCAGGAGAGGCAACUUUUUCUUCAUUUGCUGCAAUGGUUCAAUUUCCCGUCCGUUCCAAUGAAGGAAGAGGUUCUCAAUCUGUUAAGCAGAUUGGUUAAGUAUCCCCCAGCAGUCCAACAUUUGGUUGAUUUUGGUGCAGUAGAGUUCUUAUCUCAGCUUCGAUCUAAUGUGGAGCCAAAUCUGCAAGCUGAAAUUGAUGGCAUUCUGGAUGGACUUUUUAUUCUUCCUUCGGAAGUUCCUGCACCAUCUUCUGCCACAUACCAAACCAAUCAAAUGGAAUUAUCAAAAAACCCUGAAAUCUUAACAGGAUAUUUUCCCCAAGAUAAAAGUAAUUUCCAGCAGAUGGAAGUGCCGCCACGACCAGUGGUAAAUCAGACCGUGAAGUGUUUGAAGUUUUCUGUAUUUCCUUGGCUACCCCUGACCACCACAGAUAGACAUGUUCUCUCCUCUAAUGAAAGCUCUUUAAGAAGUAGUAACCACACUUUAAUCUGGAACACCUGUGAACUAUUGAAGGACGUUAUCAUGCAAGAUUUUCCUGCUGAGAUUUUUCUUCAAAGGCCAAAAAUUGUUCAGAGCCUUUUAUCUCUGUUGAAACUGGCCUUUGGAGGAGAUGGAAAGCAUCGCCUGGCAUUACAGUCAGUGUCCUGCCUGCAGCAGCUGUGCAUAUAUUUAAGAAACAGACUUAACUUUCACCGAGAUCCAGGUUUUUUCUCCAAUAAACAGGACACAGUUUCCCAAAAUUCUUCUUUAUCUUACUGUCAUGAAGCAAGAGGUACUCAUCAUUCCCAGAAUCCUUCCCCCGGAAGCAGCAGCCCUCGGCCUUCAGUGGUUGGGCGCACAGGCCAGCGACCCAGAGGAGAUGGCCAGGAUUGGGAUGCAGUGUCUUCGAGUGGAAGUAGUAGUCACGCUCAUAUAAACUCUAGGAUAUCUGUUCAUUCACCUUUGGAUAUGGGACACAUAGAUCUGCCAGAGCUGGAAACUGAAGACACAUUGGAACUACAAUUCCAGCAGCUCAGUCUUCCCCAGUUUUGUGUAUCAAUUCUGGAAUCAGCUGUUCCUCUCUUAAGAACUGGUAGCAGACAAAUGAUAAUAAGAGUUCUGGAAUUGCUUGCAGAGGAUAUGACCCUUAUUGGUGAAGCAGUUUCAGCAGAUAUCUGGGAUGACAGCAGCCUUUUUGGUAUAGAUAUGAAAGAGAAACUGCUCCUGGUGUUGGGAGCCCUUGGAGAAACUAUGUGCUACCAUAAGAGUAGUGUCAGUUUGGAACAAUCAGAGGUGAUGCUUGUGCACCACAGAAUGGCCUUUAUCAGCAUUUCACUGUUUGCAGUUCGACUAUUACAAAUGCUUCUCCCUGUUGAAAAGGCAAGCAAGUUUUUACCAGAGCCCAUGUCAGCAGCGUUAUUUCUCCUUUCUUUGGACAUGCCUAUUUCUUUGGAAUAUCCAAAUAUUCAUGAAGCUGUUGUGGCCUAUUUGGAACAGCUGAAUUCUGAAAACUACAGUAUUUAUAAACAAACUGCAGAGGCCGUUUAUUCAAUUGAAUGCACCUGUAACUUCCUGUCUGAUAUUGAGAAGGAGGGAGAGAAGGAUCUCUUAGAAUUAGUGGAGCUGGCGGAUCAAUCCUUGCGUAGCUUUUCCUAUCAUCAGCAUUUCCCCCUGAUAAAGGAAAUCGUCAACAUUUGUUCAAAGAUCUGGAAAUCUGCACAGGCCAGUCCAUUACUACAAGGAGAAAGUCAGAAGGUGCUUCUCCAUAUGUUGUCUCACCCGUUGCCACAAGUGAAAGUUGAAACUUACCAUUGCUGUCUGGAAAUCACUAAGGAAUGUUUAGGUGUUCAUAAUGUUGCUAAACCUGUGUCUUCACUUUGCAAUGGAAUUCAUUUUCUACUUCAUCCGAAAGUUCUGUAUGAAAUCUCUGUAUUUGGCAUUCAAGAGCCCAAAAGUGAGGUGAACACUGCUGCCAAGGCCAUUCUGUUAUACCUGCUUCAGGGACGACUGAUGAUGACAGCACUGACCUGGAACAAAUUUAUUGAAUCUCUCUGUCCUGUCAUUCCAGUACUGCAGGGCUAUGCUGACACAGAAGAUCCUUUGGGUAACUGCAUUCUCCUUUUAAGCAAAGCAAGUUCUGACACAGGAGAAGAGAUCCUUCCCUGUACUACCCGGUUAAAGUUCGUGCUGCGACUUUUGCUAGUGAAAAAGCCAUCGGUCCGUGCACUCGCAUUAAAGCUUUUAGCAUUCCAUCUUACCAGUGAAGAAGGGGCUGAUACAAAGCGCCCUCUAAUAGAUGCCAGAGUUCUCUCCAGAGUUACUAAUUUAUUCAUUGUGAAGAAGCCUAUUGAACUCAAACUGGAUGACAGAAGAGAGCUGGUUAUUAAGCUGGAGACUGUUGAAAAAGUAUAUGAAAUCUUCAUCUCAGAUGAUGUUGAUCUUGUUUUGAGAAAGUCAGCUGCCGAACAGUUAGCUGUGAUUAUGCAAGAUAUUAAAAUGCAUGCUGUGGUGAAAAAGUUACACUUAACUGACAAAAUAAUUCAGUAUUUAAAUGAAUGUGUGGGUCAAGAUGGCAAGGUUGUAGAAUGUUUGGUACAGCCAUGCCUGACACUCUUGAGGAAGCUUUUAUGUGGCGAUCCAGUCAUGCGUGUUUCCCUCUCACAACAGUCUUCUGUUUUGACACUGUUAUUCAGAGUUUCCUUAAUAUUUCAUGAAGAUUGUAUUGUCGUGACUGAAGUUGGAGCACUAUUUUGUCUUCUAUUAUUUGAUGAAGUAUCAAGAAUGGAUAUGUGGUCUGUUAAUCCUCCCAGUAAACCUUCUUUGCCAUCAGACUUCAGUUUGCCUGUUUCAGUUUUUAGAAGGUAUCAUCUACCUGUUCAUGUAAUCGGACACCAUGCUGUGAGUCCUUACUCCAUAGUUUUGCCUUUAUCUGCUGAUUGUUUGGCCUUGAAGCCGGUGUCAGAUAUGCUGAGAAUAGCUUGGAACCUGUCAUGGUAUCAUGGGAGUGAUAAUCUGUUGAAGCAAAUGAACUCUGAAACUAAAACACAAGAAUUUUUGGAUACAUUGAAGUUAUCUGCAGAAGACAUCCUCACUCUGAAGAUAACACACAUGGCUAGUGGGCUGCAGGACUGCCUCCAGUCCAUUGUUCAGGCUGCAACCCACAGGGAAGUUAGGGCUGCUGUUACUAGGAUGAGUUUUUAUCUUCUGAAUGACAGAUUGUCAUUAAAGGGUGGCCCUGGUUCGUGUGGGGCUACCUUGAAGUCCCUGGCUUGGCACAACACGCUGAACAGGUUUUUACAAGUGCUUCCUGCUUCCACUGAAGAUGAGAAACUGCUAAUAGAUAUCAUACAUUUUUUAAAUAAAUUAAUAAAAGAACAAAGAAAAAAUUCUUCAUUGGAACUUCUAAACUGGAUUCUAGAAUUACUUCUUAAACAUAGUGCAAACCCACUGUUGGACCUCUUGGUUCUGACAGAGUCACAGGCACGAGAAGAGACAGAUGAUAUCCGGACUGCUGUCAGGCAACAACUUCAGAAAGAACUGAUUGCUCUUUUUGACACCUUGCUGCUCAAUUUCAUGGACGUUAAUGACAGGAAAUGCUUGGAACUUCUUCACGUUUUUCAAACACAGCUGGCUCUGAAACUGCUCCAGUGUUUGAAAGUGACGGAUGCACCUCAUUUCUAUGGCCUGCCAUCCCUUGAGCGGACCUUACGAGGGAUGGCUAACCUCACUGCAUUUCUGGGAUGGAGCUCACAUUCUCCUCUCACAAAGCCUCUCGAUAUAUGUGUGAAGUACUUGUCAGGUCUCCUUGAGGUCAUUACUUCCUUUUAUGUGGAGCGUGGAGGAAAUGCUAUGUCCUUCAUGGGAAAAGGUGUUACAAAGAGCACAAUUCUUUGCUUGCUUCACUUAUCCCAUGAGAUGAUGGCCCAGGCUGGGAGCUUGGAGUGGAUGUCACUUUGGUUCUUACCUUUGGGUAGUCAUAGUGAAGAACAUAUUCCUACUCAACAGGGAUUGGCUUGGUUGAUUCCAUUAUGGGUUGAUCGGGACCCAGAGGUGAGAUUUACUUCACUGGGAUUAGGAUCAGCACUGACCACCCUUGAAACUGGCUGUGUUGCCUUGGCAAACAGUUGUCAGAACAUUUCUGGGGGGCUCUGGGGAACUGUGGUGAACAUUCUUCUGGACCAGUCCGAAUGUAGUAUGGUGCGCCGGGAGGCUGCAUUUAUUUUUCAGAAUCUCCUUGUAAUUCCAAUGCCUACAGAAAUUAUAAAGGAUUAUACUUGGCAGACCUCUACAUUUAAAAUAACAACAAUGACCACCAUGGGCUGGCUGUUCCUUACAGGGCCCUGUGUCCAUGAUGAGGACUCUGGCCUAUCCCUCAUUGGAAAACCUGCCCUUCAGGCUCUUUUAUAUCAUUGCCAUUUUUAUGAACAUUUGAAUCAGAUGGUAAAACAUUGUUACCUAGGGCGGUGUAUGUUUGAUUUGAAUUUUUCUGCUUUUGAUAGAAAUUCAGAAGGCAAUGAUUUAAAUGGUUUAGAUGACUCAUUCAAGUUUUGGAGGCCUCCAUCCAGGAUAUCCAGUGAGGAUCAAGAUCCAAGUUCUCUCUCCACCUCAGAAACAACGGUGGCACCUUCAUCGGAGAGUGCUGAAUUCCAGCCACUUGUGCAGUCACCAACACUUCUACCUGAAGUCUCCCAUGACCAGUUUGUGGCUCAAGGUCAUCAGGAAAGUACAUCACCGCGGCCACCUCAUGAUUCAUCUCUUUCUGCUCCCCUGCCCAAACUGUGUGUUUUUGUUACUCCAUCUCUUCUUUCAGCAAUGUGCAGCCUCUUGGACAACCUCUUGGUGAUUGCUCCCAGAGACACUGCAAAGGCUCUCCGACAAGCUCAUCUCAUCGAACUUCUCUCUAGCAUUGCAGAUGCUACCCUCAUACAGACAUGGGUCCAGGAACUCAGGACCCUACUGCCUUCAUCACCUCCAGCUGAACAUACUCAGGCUCAGGUGUCAUUUCUUCUGGAAUACCUAUCCUCUUUGUCCAGGCUUCUGCAGUCGUGUUUAUUGGUGGAGCCUGACCUUGUAAUUCAGAAUGAGCUUAUGAAACCUCUUAUCACUAAUAUCAUUGGAAUUCUCACCAUAUGCACCAAAGAUAUAUUAGAUACAGAGUUAAUAUCAGCUUUUUAUCUCACAUGGACACAUUUAUUUAAUCUUCUGGCCACGCUCCUGAGGAAGACUGGUGCCAUUGCACUCCCAUCUGUUAUUGUGGCCCUGGCCAAGCACUGGACAGCAAUGAUUGAGAUGUUCUGCAAAUGUGCGAGCUUGUCCGCCACGUGUCCUGCCCUGUAUACUGCCAGCUUGCAAUUCCUUUCUGUUCUCUUGACUGAAGAAGCAAAAGAGCAUCUCCAGGAUAAGAGCAAAACAAGUUUAUGCCAUAGUCCAACAAUGGCUUCACUUCUUGAUAAGUCUCAGGAAAAUCAGAAAUCUCAACGACUUAGUGAUGUAAUUCUUCAGUGCUAUGAAGAAAAAUCCUCCAAAGAUAUCCUGAAAAGAGUAGCUGCAAAUGCACUGAUGUCACUUCUGGCUGUCAGUAGAAGAGCGCAGAAAUGUGCUUUGGAAGCCAAUCUUAUAGACAACUGCAUGGAGCAGAUGAAACACAUAAAUGCACAACUUAAUCUAGAUUCUCUGAGGCCUGGGAAAGCAGCAUUGAAAAAAAAGGAGGAUGGUGUUAUUAAAGAGUUAAGCAUUGCCAUGCAGCUCCUAAGAAACUGUCUUUAUCAAAAUGAAGAAUGUAAAGAAGCAGCUCUUGAAGCUCACCUUGUCCCUGUCUUGCACUCUCUCUGGCCUUGGAUUUUGAUGGAUGAUUCAUUGAUGCAAAUUUCUCUGCAGCUUCUUUGCGUCUAUACUGCAAAUUUUCCAAAUGUCUGACACCUCUGGAGCUGUCCAUUUCGAUACCCAGCUCAGGUUGUCUCCAGUCAGCACGAAGAGAUAUAAACAGACCUUCAGGCUCUUGAACUUGAACUAUCAUUGAAGCAUAUGUGUACAGGAUUGUCCCUGCCUUCAUUCUGUGUUGCCAACUUUCUCCGUUCCUUAGGUCUGGUGGGAGUGUCUCGUUUCAGUGCAUUUUCCAGCUCCACUACUGUAUCUUUUGUUGGCUUACUCAUCUUUUAUGAGUUUCUUUUAUAGAAUAUAUUUGAUUCUGAUCAAUUUAUACUUAAGUUAGCCUCCUUGUAUGAACUUUCGCAAGUCAAUUAUACCUUAGGUUUACGUAUAAUACAGUCUUAUUGAUUUAACAUUAAAAUGGAUUUCUAAUUAAAAAAAACUUUUUUCUCCCUCAAUAAAUCUCAUUCAGUUGCUUAAUUUCCUGAGAAACACUGGACCCUGGAAAGCCUGUAGAUGCCACUGCCAGCUGCUGCCACUUCUAAACUGUGUGACCUUGAGCAACAAACUGGCUUUUCUGGGCUUCAUAUCUUUGUUGACCAAAUAUAGAAAAUAGUAUUUGUUCUGUCCCCCUCCCCAGGGAUAUUAUGUUCCUUGCCGGUUAUGUAAAAUGAAGACAUUAGACAAGUUAUCUCCCAUUUCUAAAAUCUGUUCCUCUACACAGGCCUUUAUUUAGAUGUUUUCUUUAGGAACAAUUAAAAACCCUAGUAUACUUAUUUUAUUCUUUUUACAAAAAUAAACCUGGUAUCUUAAAGUGCUCUAUUGACAUAAUUCGGCCCUCGGUGAGGACAGUAAAUCUAUGAGGUUGAAUGUAGACACCAACAUUAGCCUCCAUUGCUAAUUUGCAGUUCACAGGUUAAUGGCUAAGUCAUUUUGAUAGACAGAUAUGCUUUACCACUUAGUGUAUUCAAAAACUAAACAGGGAAAGGAAACUGAGAAGACAUUGUGAUAGGCGGUUAUUUUUGAAGGUUGCAGUUCUCUUUGUUGGUCAAGUUCUGGACAGCACCCUGUUCAAGCUGCACACAGAGGAGCCCUGGGCAACUCUCUGAUGCUGUGUGUCCUAAAGUUGGCUUCCCAGAUGCCACUGGAGAACACCACAGUUCAGCAGAUGGUUUUUAUGCUUCUUUCAAACCUGGCCUUGUCUCACGACUGUAAAGGAGUAAUUCAGAAGAGUAACUUCUUACAGAACUUCCUCUCUCUAGCAUUGCCAAAAGGAGGAAAUAAACAUCUCAGUAAUCUGACUAUUCUUUGGUUGAAGUUACUCCUGAAUAUGUCAUUUGGAGAAGAUGGGCAGCAAAUGAUUCUGAGGCUUCAUGGCUGUCUAGACUUACUAACAGAGAUGAGCAAAUACAAGCAUAAGAGCAGCCCUUUAUUGCCUCUUCUUAUCUUUCAUAAUAUUUGCUUCAGUCCUGCUAAUAAACCCAAGAUCCUGGCUAA